rnacentral:rRNA from 1 species
GCGAACGCUGGCGGCGUGCUUAACACAUGCAAGUCGAGCGAUGAAGUUCCUUCGGGAAUGGAUUAGCGGCGGACGGGUGAGUAACACGUGGGUAACCUGCCUCAUAGAGGGGAAUAGCCUUUCGAAAGGAAGAUUAAUACCGCAUAAGAUUGUAGUGCCGCAUGGCAUAGCAAUUAAAGGAGUAAUCCGCUAUGAGAUGGACCCGCGUCGCAUUAGCUAGUUGGUGAGGUAACGGCUCACCAAGGCGACGAUGCGUAGCCGACCUGAGAGGGUGAUCGGCCACAUUGGGACUGAGACACGGCCCAGACUCCUACGGGAGGCAGCAGUGGGGAAUAUUGCACAAUGGGGGAAACCCUGAUGCAGCAACGCCGCGUGAGUGAUGACGGUCUUCGGAUUGUAAAGCUCUGUCUUCAGGGACGAUAAUGACGGUACCUGAGGAGGAAGCCACGGCUAACUACGUGCCAGCAGCCGCGGUAAUACGUAGGUGGCAAGCGUUGUCCGGAUUUACUGGGCGUAAAG